AUGGACUUCGCCAGCCGCCACACCGCCGCGGCCCCGCCGGCCAACGCCGGGGCCGACGCCUCCUCCUCCGCCGUCACCGAGGAGCCCGAGUACCUCGCCAGGUACUUCGUCGUCAAGCACUCGUGGCGGGGGAGGUACCGCCGGAUCCUCUGCAUCGCCGCCUCGGGCGUCGUCACGCUCGACCCGACCACGCUCGCCGUCACCAACUCCUACGACUUCGCCGCAGACUUCGACCGCGCGGCGCCCGACCCCAACGGCGCCGCCGAAUUCUCGCUCAGCGUCCGCUCUGACGGCAAGGGCAAGUUCAAGGCCAUGCGCUUCUCCUCGCCGCUCCGCGCCGGGAUCCUCACCGAGCUCCACCGCCUGCGCCCCGUGCACCCGGUUGUCGAGUUCCCCGUCCUCCACCUCCGCCGCCGCACCCAAGAGUGGGCACCCUUCAAAAUUAAGGUCACUUCAUUGGGAAUUGAGCUCCUUGAAGUACACUCUGGUAAUCUACGCUGGUGCUUGGACUUUAGAGAUAUGGAUUCUCCUGCUAUCUUGCUCUUGGGGGAUAAUUAUGGGAGGAGGAGCGCUGAAGGCGGAGGGUUUGUGCUAUGCCCCCUUUAUGGAAGGAAGUCGAAAGCAUUUAUGGCUGCAUCAGGCAGUACAAACACUCUGAUUAUAUCAUCUUUGACAAAAACUGCCAAGUCAGCAAUUGGACUAUCACUCUCCAUUGACAAUUCUCAGUCAAUGACAGCUGCUGACUUCAUAGCAAGGAGAGCUAAUGAGGCAGUUGGAGCUGCUGAAACUCGGCAUGGAGAAUGGUCAGUAAUAAGAUUACGUCCUGCUGCACAUGGCACUGCCUGUAUUGAGAGCUUGAGUUUGGGUGUUGGACCACGGGGAGGACUUGGAGAACAGGGUGAUUCUGUUUCUCGGCAGCUCGUUCUUACAAACACAUCACUUGUGGAAAGGCGCCCUGAGAAUUAUGAGGCUACUAUUGUCCGGCCUCUAUCAGCAGUAAGUGCCCUUGUACGAUUUGCAGAAGAGCCGCAGAUGUUUGCAUUCGAAUUCAAUGAUGGUUGCCCGAUUCAUGUAUAUGCAAGUACGUCCCGUGAUAAUUUAAUUGCAACAGUUGUUGAUGUUUUACAAACCCAGAGGCAAUGUGCAAUUCCAGUGCUGCCAAGGUUGACUAUGCCUGGUCAUCGUAUAGAUCCACCUUGUGGGGUUGCCCAUCUUCAGAUACCUCAAAAUGCUACUGUUGAUAUGGAAGCUGCUAACAUGUACGUAAAACAUUUAGCUGUGGUCGCGAAAGAGGCUGUAGCUUCAUCUGACACUGUUCCGGGAGCAAAAAUCAGAUUAUGGCGUAGAAUAAGGGAGUUUAAUGCAUGUAUACCAUAUACCGGAGUGCCCAUCAAUAUUGAAGUGCCUGAGGUGGUCCUAAUGGCUUUAAUUAGUCUUCUUCCAGCCACCCCGCAAAAUCUUCCUGCUGAUGCUCCACCUCUUCCGCCUCCAUCACCAAAAGCAGCAGCAACAAUAAUGGGGUUCGUUGCAUGCUUACGGAGGCUACUUACAUCAAGAAGUGUGUCAUCACAUGUGAUGGCAUUUCCUGUUGCUGUUGGGAGAAUAAUGGGUUUGCUUAGGAAUGGCUCAGAGGGAGUGGCAGCUGAGGCUGCUGGGCUUGUGGCUAUGCUAAUUGGUGGUGGUCCUGGUGAUACAUCGAUGUUGAUGGAUACGAGGGGAGAAUCCCAUGCUACCUACAUGCAUGCAAAGUCUGUACUGUUUGCACAACCGAUCUAUGUUCCAGUCCUUGUUAGCAGAUUGAAGCCAUUAUCAGUUUCACCAUUACUUUCUCUGUCUGUUGUGGAAAUCCUUGAAGCUAUGCUUUGUGAUCCCCAUGGUGAAACAACCCAACAUGCUACAUUUGUUGAGUUACUACGUCAAGUUGCUGGUUUGCGCCGUCGGUUGUUUGCCUUAUUUGCGCACCCUGCUGAAAGUGUAAGAGAGACCAUUUCAGUUAUUAUGCGUACAAUCGCUGAGGAAGAUGCAAUAGCAGCAGAGUCUAUGCGUGAUGCUGCCUUGAAGGAUGGUGCGCUUCUGAGGCAUUUGUUAAAUGCUUUCUUCUUCCCUGCCGGUGAGCGGCGUGAUGUUAGUCGGCAGCUUGUUGCUCUGUGGGCCGAUUCUUAUCAACCUGCGCUGGAUUUGCUGUCCAGAAUACUUCCUCCUGGACUUGUUGCUUAUCUUCAUACGAGGUCAGAUGAAGAUUCUCAGAACCAGUAUGACGAAGUACCGCUAAGCAGAAGGCAGAAGCGGAUACUUCAGCAGAGGAGGGCUCUUGGUGGUAAGAACAUGGAAACACCAGAACAAGGAAUGCCCCCCAAUAGUGUUGAUGAUGCAGAUUUCUUCAGGCACACCAGUGUGGGUCCUUAUGGAGGAGCAGAUGUCAAUCAGAGGCAUGCCGGCCAGUACUCAACCGUCCACACCCCUUCUCCUGCUAUGAGUAUUGACCCUUCUCAUGCAGUUCCACAUGGUGCUGUACCUCAGUCUGUUUCUGAAAAUCAUCAACUUGGAACACCACAGCUGGAUUCACACACUUAUUCAGUGGACCCCACUGCUAAUGGUGACCUUAUUGAGUCCUCACAUUCAGAUUUCUCAGUACCUGCACAGAUUGUGGUGGAAAACACUCCUGUGGGAUCUGGCAGGCUACUAUGUAAUUGGUUUGGAUUUUGGAGAGCAUUUGGUCUAGAUCACAAUAGAGCAGAUUUGAUAUGGAAUGAACGCACAAGGCAAGAAUUAAGGGAAGCGUUGCAAACUGAAGUUCAUAACCUUGAUGUUGAGAAAGAAAGAACCGAUGAUAUUGACCCUGGAAGUUCGGUAAGUGAGGAUGAUGGUGGUAGUGACACCUUACCGCGAAUUUCAUGGAACUAUGCUGAAUUUUUUGUCAGCUACCCUAGCUUGUCUAAAGAAGUCUGUGUUGGGCAAUAUUACUUACGGUUGCUGCUUGAAAGUGGAAGUAAUUACCGAGCACAGGAUUUUCCACUACGUGACCCUGUUGCUUUUUUUAGAGCUCUGUACCAUCGUUUCUUGUGUGAUGCGGAUGUUGGUCUAACUGUGGAUGGUGCAGUUCCUGAUGAACUGGGUUCGUCUGAUGAUUGGUGUGACAUGGGAAGGUUGGAUGGGUUUGGUGGGGGUGGAGGUUCCUCAGUAAGAGAGCUUUGUUCAAGGGCAAUGGCUAUAGUUUAUGAGCAACAUUACAAAGUUAUUGGGCCUUUUGAUGGCACAGCACAUAUUACAGUUCUCUUAGACAGAACAGAUGAUAGGGCUUUAAGACACCGAUUGCUACUUCUGUUAAAGGCCUUCAUGAAUGACCUUUCAAAUGUUGAAGCAUGUGUUCUUGUUGGAGGCUGUGUUUUGGCUGUUGAUUUGUUAACUGUUGCUCAUGAAGCAUCUGAGCGGACAGCUAUUCCUCUACAGUCUAAUCUCAUUGCAUCAACCGCAUUUAUGGAGCCUUCAAAAGAGUGGAUGUAUAUUGACAACGAUGGUACAAAAGUUGGUCCACUUGAAAAGGAUGCUAUUAGAAGGCUGUGGUCAAAGAAGUCAAUUGAUUGGACAACAAAAUGUUGGGCCUCCAGUAUGUCUGACUGGAAAAGAUUACGUGACAUUCGAGAGCUGCGUUGGGCACUUUCUGUUAGGACACCUGUUCUGACUUCUAGUCAGAUUGCGGAUGCUGCCUUGUCUAUAUUGCAUAGUAUGGCAUCUGCACAUUCUGAUCUUGAUGAUGCGGGAGAGAUAGUGACCCCAACUCCUAGGGUGAAACGUAUAUUGUCAAGUCCAAGAUGCCUUCCUCAUGUUGCUCAGGCCAUGCUUACUGGGGAACCAAGCAUUGUUGAAGUAUCUGCCUCUUUUCUUAAGGCUAUUGUCACAAGAAACCCCAAAGCUAUGAUUCGAUUAUAUAGUACUGGUGCCUUUUACUUUGCAUUGGCAUACCCUGGUUCAAACCUUCUAUCAAUCGCACAACUUUUUUCGGCCACGCAUACUCAUCAAGCCUUUCAUGGCGGUGAAGAGGCUGCAGUAUCUUCAUCAUUGCCUUUGGCAAAGCGCAGUGUACUAGGUGGACUGCUCCCAGAAUCACUGCUGUAUGUCUUAGAACGUAGUGGUCCUUCUGCUUUUGCUGCCGCAAUGGUGUCUGAUUCUGACACACCAGAGAUUAUAUGGACCCACAAAAUGAGGGCAGAACAUCUUAUCCGCCAGGUUCUGCAGCAUCUCGGUGAUUUUUCUCAGAAAUUGGCUCAACAUUGCCAUUCAUUGUAUGAUUAUGCUCCUAUGCCACCUGUGACCUACCCGAAUCUGAAAGAUGAGAUGUGGUGCCAUCGUUACUACCUUCGGAACCUAUGUGAUGAAAUCAGGUUUCCUAACUGGCCCAUUGUUGAACACGUAGAGUUUUUGCAGUCACUACUGGCAAUGUGGCGUGAAGAGUUAACUCGCCGUCCAAUGGAUUUGUCUGAAGAAGAAGCCUGCAAGAUACUGGAGAUUACUCUCGAUGAUCUUGUAAUUGGCGAGAAGGGUAGUAGCAAAAAGUCAUCCGAGUUAAAUCUGGCCAGUUUGGCAAAAAAUAUUGAAAACAUCGACGAAGAGAAGCUUAAGCGCCAAUACCGGAAGCUGGCAAUAAAAUACCACCCAGACAAGAACCCUGAGGGAAGAGAAAAGUUUGUUGCUGUGCAAAAGGCUUACGAGCGAUUGCAGGCAAGUAUGCAAGGAUUGCAGGGACCACAGCUCUGGAGGCUGAUACUCUUACUUAAGGCACAGUGUAUCUUGUACAAGAGAUAUGGACAUGUCUUGGAACCAUUCAAAUAUGCUGGCUAUCCUAUGUUGCUAAAUGCAGUUACUGUAGACAAGGAUGAUAGCAAUUUCCUUUCAUCUGAUAGAGCCCCUCUUUUGAUAGCCGCUUCAGAGCUGAUUUGGCUGACAUGUUCAUCAUCUUCACUAAAUGGAGAAGAGCUUAUACGAGACAGCGGUAUCCCGUUGUUGGCAACACUGCUUUCACGUUGCAUGUGCAUCGUUCAGCCCACAACUCCGGCACAUGAACCAGCGGCUAAAAUAGUCACCAAUAUAAUGCACACAUUUUCAGCGCUCAGCCUGUUUGAGUCAGGAAGAGUUGAGAUUCUUACGUUUGCUGGCCUUGUUGAGGACAUUGUGCACUGUACAGAACUUGAAUUUGUUCCAUCGGCUGUGGAUGCUGCUCUGCAGACAGCUGCUAAUGUUUCAGUUUCAUCUGAACUGCAAAAUGCUCUGCUUGCCGCUGGCUUUUUAUGGUUUGUCUUGCCCUUACUGCUUCAAUACGAUUCAACAGCAGAAGAGAAUGAGACAAAUGAAUCACAUGGUGUUGGGGCAAGGGUGCAGAUUGCCAAAAAUCUUCAUGCAGUACAUGCAGCUCAGGCUUUGUCAAAGCUUUGUGGUCUUGGUGGUGACGGAAUAUCAAGCCCAUCUAACUUUCCUGCUUUCAAUACAUUAAGAGCACUUCUUACUCCCAAGCUUGCUGACAUGCUGAGAAACCGGCCACCCAAAGAUCUAUUAUCAAAUCUGAAUUCAAACUUGGAGUCACCAGAGAUCAUAUGGAAUUCUUCAACCAGAGGAGAGCUCCUCAAAUUUGUAGAUCAGCAGCGAACUAGCCAAGGUCCCGAUGGUUCGUACGAUUUGACAGAAUCAGAGUCUUUCAACUAUGAAGCUUUGUCAAAAGAAUUGAAUGUUGGUGAUGUCUACUUGAGAGUUUACAACAAUCAACCAGAUUAUGAAAUAAGUGAUCAGGAAGGAUUUUGCAUUGCUCUUCUUAAGUUUAUAGCAGGUCUAGUGCAAAAGUGGAAUUCCAUAAAUUCGGAGGAAAAUAUGACGCAUGAACAUGAUUCGGUUAUUGAUACAUCUACUGAAAAUGGUGGAGCCAGUGAUUCAACUAAUGAAGGAAAAGAGGAUAAUUCAUUUGAAAAAGGCGGUAAAUAUGAAACUGGCGGAGAUUGUGAAGUUAUUACAAACCUCAGAAGUGGGUUAACAUCGCUUCAGAAUCUUCUGACAAGUAAUCCAGGCUUGGCUGCUGUUUUUGCUUCCAAGGAACGAUUGACACCUCUAUUUGAAUGCCUUGCGCUGCCUGUUCCUCCUGAAAGCAAUAUUCCACAAAUUUGUUUAAGUGUUCUUUCUCUCUUGACAAAGCAUGCUCCUUGUUUGGAGGCCAUGGUCGCAGAAAGGACGAGUCUCAUUUUGCUAUUUCAGAUACUACACUGCAAUCCUUCUUGUAGGGAUGGGGCGCUUGCUGUCCUCUAUUCUUUGGCCAGCACGCCAGAGUUGGCCUGGGCUGCUGCCAAGCAUGGUGGUGUAGUGUACAUUCUCGAACUUAUGUUACCCCUUCAAGAGGAAAUCCCUAUGCAGCAAAGAGCUGCAGCUGCAUCCUUAUUGGGCAAACUCGCUGGGCAGCCGAUGCAUGGUCCCAGGGUGGCCAUCACACUUGCUAGAUUCUUGCCCGAUGGUUUGGUUUCUGCAAUUAGAGAUGGACCUGGUGAAGCUGUUGUUUCAUCUCUUGAACAGACAACAGAAACUCCUGAACUUGUAUGGACACCUGCAAUGGCAGCUUCUCUUUCUGCGCAGCUGUCUACCAUGGCGGCAGACCUUUACCAAGAGCAGAUGAAAGGACGUCUUGUUGAUUGGGAUGUGCCGGAACAACCAUCUGGCCAACAUGUAAUGAAGGAUGAACCACAGGUUGGUGGAAUAUAUGUGAGACUUUUCCUAAAGGAUCCCAAGUUUCCACUGAGAAACCCUAAAAGAUUCCUUGAAGGGCUCCUAGAUCAGUAUGUUUCUUCAGUUGCUGCUACCCACUAUGAAGCAAAUGCAGUUGAUCCAGAACUUCCUUUGCUGCUUUCUGCCGCACUUGUUUCUUUGUUGCGUGUUCAUCCGGCACUUGCAGACCAUGUUGGUUACCUAGGUUAUGUUCCAAAGCUAGUUGCAGCUAUGGCUUAUGAGGGAAGAAGGGAGACUAUGGCAUCUGGACAGGACACAAGUAGAGCGCAAGCAGAACCUAUUGAGCACGAUAACUCUGAUGGUGUCCCUGAGACCACUGUGCAGACUCCACAAGAGAGGGUUCGCCUUAGUUGUUUGCGAGUACUACAUCAGCUGGCGUCUAGCACCACUUGUGCUGAAGCUAUGGCGGCAACAAGUGCAGGAACUCCUCAGGUUGUUGCACUGCUUAUGAAAGCAAUUGGAUGGCAAGGUGGAAGUAUACUGGCAUUAGAGACACUAAAGCGUGUUGUUGGCGCUGGUAAUCGAGCUAGAGACGCGCUUGUUGCACAAGGGUUAAAGGUUGGUCUUGUUGAUGUGCUCCUUGGCAUUCUUGACUGGCGAGCUGGUGGAAGGCAGGGACUCUGUAACCAAAUGAAGUGGAAUGAAUCAGAGGCUUCAAUUGGGCGUGUACUAGCAGUGGAGGUACUUCAUGCUUUUGCAACGGAAGGCGCUCACUGUGCUAAAGUUCGAGAAAUCCUUAAUUCUUCUGAUGUAUGGAGCGCUUACAAAGACCAGAAACAUGACCUGUUUCUUCCAUCCAACGCACAAACUUCUGCUGCCGGAGUUGCAGGGCUUAUUGAGAGCUCAUCUUCAAGGCUCACCUAUGCCCUCACGGCGGCGCCCUCGUCUCAACCCGCCCUGGUCCGUCUACCAUCGUCUUCUCCUCCUCCAUCGACUGGUCCUGUAAAUCCUGCCAGCGGGCGGCGGCAUUCGUAG
rnacentral:rRNA from 1 species